rnacentral:rRNA from 1 species
GAGAGGAGCUGUCCUUAGUACGAGAGGACCGGGAUGGACAUACCUCUGGUGUACCAGUUGUCGUGCCAACGGCAUAGCUGGGUAGCUAUGUAUGGACGGGAUAAGUGCUGAAAGCAUCUAAGCAUGAAGCCCCCCUCAAGAUGAGAUUUCCCAACUUCGGUUAUAAGAUCCCUCAAAGAUGAUGAGGUUAAUAGGUUCGGGGUGGAAGCAUAGCGAUAUGUGGAGCUGACGAAUACUAAUCGAUCGAAGACUUAAUCAAAUUUC